CAUCGGAGCUUCACUCCCAACCCAUGUGAACAUACCUACUGUUGCUUCGGCGGGAUUGCCCCGGGCGCCUCGUGUGCCCCGGAUCAGGCGCCCGCCUAGGAAACUCAACUCUUGUUUUAUUUUGGAAUCUUCUGAGUAGUUUUUACAAAUAAAUAAAAACUUUCAACAACGGAUCUCUUGGUUCUGGCAUCGAUGAAGAACGCAGCGAAAUGCGAUAAGUAAUGUGAAUUGCAGAAUUCAGUGAAUCAUCGAAUCUUUGAACGCACAUUGCGCCCGCCAGUAUUCUGGCGGGCAUGCCUGUCUGAGCGUCAUUUCAACCCUCAUGCCCCUAGGGCGUGGUGUUGGGGAUCGGCCAAAGCCCGCGAGGGACGGCCGGCCCCUAAAUCUAGUGGCGGACCCGUCGUGGCCUCCCCUGCGAAGUAGUGAUAUUCCGCAUCGGAGAGCGACGAGCCCCUGCCGUUAAACCCCCAACUUUCCAAGGUUGACCUCAGAUCAGGUAGGAAUACCCGCUGAACUUAAGCAUAUCAAAAGCCCGGAGGAA
rnacentral:rRNA from 1 species